rnacentral:rRNA from 1 species
ACGGGAGGCAGCAGUAGGGAAUAUUGCACAAUGGGGGGAAACCCUGAUGCAGCAACGCCAAGUGUGGGAAGAAGCAUUUCGGUGUGUAAACCACUGUCGUGAGGGAAUAACGCUUGAUUUCGGUCAAGUUGAAUGUACCUCGAAAGGAAGCACCGGCAAACUUCGUGCCAGCAGCCGCGGUAAUACGAGGGGUGCAAGCGUUGUUCGGAAUCACUGGGCGUAAAGGGAGCGCAGGCGGAGAUGCAAGCGGACUGUACAAUCCCGGGGCCCACCCCCGGACCUGCAGUCCGGACUGCUCCUCUUGGAUAGUUCAGGGGCAAGCGGAAUUCCUGGUGUAGCGGUGGAAUGCGUAGAGAUCAGGAAGAACACCGAUGGCGAAGGCAGCUUGCUGGGGACUUAUCGACGCUCAUGCUCGAAAGUGCGGGUAGCAAACAGGAUUAGAUCCCCUGGUA